rnacentral:rRNA from 1 species
CACGUAGGGGGCAAGCGUUGUCCGGAUUUAUUAGGCGUAAAGAGCUCGUAGGUGGUUCGGUAAGUCGGGUGUUAAACCCCCAGGCUCAACCUGGGGACGCCACUCGAUACUGCUGUGACUAGAGUCCGGUAGGGGAGCGUGGAAUUCCUGGUGUAGCGGUGAAAUGCGCAGAUAUCAGGAGGAACACCAGCGGCGAAGGCGGCGCUCUGGGCCGGUACUGACGCUGAGACGCGAAAGCGUGGGGAGCGAACAGG